rnacentral:rRNA from 1 species
UACGGAGGGGGCUAGCGUUGUCCGGAAUCAUUGGGCGUAAAGAGCGUGUAGGCGGUCCGGUAAGUCCGUUGUGAAAGUCAGGGGCUCAACCCUUGAAUGCCGGCGGAUACUGUCGGGCUAGAGUCCGGAAGAGGCGAGUGGAAUUCCCGGUGUAGCGGUGAAAUGCGCAGAUAUCGGGAGGAACACCUAUGGCGAAGGCAGCUCGCUGGGACGGUACUGACGCUGAGACGCGAAAGCGUGGGGAGCAAACAGG